CUACGUGCCAGCAGCCGCGGUAAUACGGAAGGUCCAGGCGUUAUCCGGAUUUAUUGGGUUUAAAGGGAGCGUAGGCGGAUUGUUAAGUCAGCGGUUAAAGGGUGUGGCUCAACCAUGCAUUGCCGUUGAAACUGGCGAUCUUGAGUGCAGACAGGGAUGCCGGAAUUCGUGGUGUAGCGGUGAAAUGCUUAGAUAUGACGAAGAACUCCGAUUGCGAAGGCAGCUGACGGGAGCGCAACUGACGCUGAAGCUCGAAGGUGCGGGUAUCGAACAGGAUUAGAUACCCUGGUAGUCCGCACAGUAAACGAUGGAUGCCCGCUGUUGGUACCUGGUAUCAGCGGCUAAGCGAAAGCAUUAAGCAUCCCACCUGGGGAGUACGCCGGCAACGGUGAAACUCAAAGGAAUUGACGGGGGCCCGCACAAGCGGAGGAACAUGUGGUUUAAUUCGAUGAUACGCGAGGAACCUUACCCGGGCUUGAAUUGCAGACGAACGAUUCAGAGA
rnacentral:rRNA from 1 species